GAAGGUGUAGCUCAGUGGUAGAGCACAUGCUUAGCAUGCAUGAGGUUCUGGGUUCAUUCGCCAGCACCUCCA
rnacentral:tRNA from 1 species